UGGCUCAGAACGAACGCUGGCGGCAGGCUUAACACAUGCAAGUCGAGCGCCCCGCAAGGGGAGCGGCAGACGGGUGAGUAACGCGUGGGAAUCUACCCAUCUCUACGGAACAACUCCGGGAAACUGGAGCUAAUACCGUAUACGUCCUUCGGGAGAAAGAUUUAUCGGAGAUGGAUGAGCCCGCGUUGGAUUAGCUAGUUGGUGGGGUAAUGGCCUACCAAGGCGACGAUCCAUAGCUGGUCUGAGAGGAUGAUCAGCCACACUGGGACUGAGACACGGCCCAGACUCCUACGGGAGGCAGCAGUGGGGAAUAUUGGACAAUGGGCGAAAGCCUGAUCCAGCCAUGCCGCGUGAGUGAUGAAGGCCCUAGGGUUGUAAAGCUCUUUCAACGGUGAAGAUAAUGACGGUAACCGUAGAAGAAGCCCCGACCAACUUCGUGCCAGCCG
rnacentral:rRNA from 1 species